GAUGAACGCUGGCGGCGUGCUUAACACAUGCAAGUCGAACGUGAGAGGUAGCAAUAUCUUGAAAGUGGCGAACGGGUGAGUAACACGUAGGUAACCUGCCUCGGAGUGGGGGAUAACAGUUAGAAAUGACUGCUAAUACCGCAUGAAUCCAUGGAUUGGGGACAAUCGGUGGAGAAAACUCUGGUGCUUCGAGAGGGGCCUGCGGCCGAUUAGCUAGUUGGUGGGUAAAGCCUACCAAGGCGACGAUCGGUAGCUGGUCUGAGAGGACGAUCAGCCACACGGGAACUGAGACAC
rnacentral:rRNA from 1 species